AAGCAGCCCUGAUUCUUAGAGUGUCUCUUUUAUCAGCAACAAUGGAAACAUUCUCCUUUAUGUUUGCCAGUACAGAUAAAGUCCUGUUGAACAAAGAGUCCUCUUGAACAAACCAGAUCUGCCUCUAGGUUUUGCCAGGGCUGUCUCCUCAGCAUAACUCUCCAGACCAAAGAGGAAAGAACAUAUAUGGAGUGGUUCCUAUAUGCCAGACUUCUCCAUCUGGUCUGCAUUUGAAGAUUCCUUGAAGACAACUGUGUUCUUGUCACCCCUGAGAACCUGGUCACGGCCAGGGGUCUGAAUAGAUGGGGACUCAUCAUUUACCUGCCAGAUCUGAAAUGACCAGGUCAGCCAUAUCUGUCCUGCAGAGAAUGCUGUUGCCUCAGGAAAAUUCAACAAUUGGCCCCCAACUCAGACAUCGUGAGGCUGAACUGUUAUCCAAACUGGAAAGGAGAGAGAGACAGACAGACAGACAGACAGGCAGAGAGGUAUUUGAAGGUG